GCAAAAGAGUGGGAAGAUCUUUGAGUAGAGGUGACAGACCUACCGAGCUCAGUUAUAGCUGGUUGCCUACAAAAGGAAUAGAAGUUCAGCCUUUUCACUUCUUCUCUCAAAACUGCACAUACUAAUAAGUGACACAAAGAAGUUAAAAGAGUUAUUCAAGGGGGGAACAGCCCCCUUGAAAAAAGAUACAACUUUAUUUAGAAGGCUAAAGAUUAAAAUAAUCCAGGCAAAUAUACCUUGGUGGGCCUAAAAGCAGCCAUCCAUAUAGAAAGCGUUAAAGCUCAAGUACUUUGCCCCUCCCUAAUUUCAAUAAUUCAAUCUUAAGCCCCUUAAUUAAUAGUAGGCCUUUUCAUGCACCCAUGAAAGAGAUACUGCUGAGAUGAGUAAUAAGAGGACCGCUCCUCUCCUAACACUUGUAUAAUUCAGAACGAACCCCCACUGAAAAUUAACGCCCCCAACUAGAAGAGGGGCCUGGGAAAGCCCAAAAUAAACUAGAAGCUCACCCAACAAAUAGCGUUAACCCUACACAGGUGUGUUUUAAGGAAAGACUAAAAGAAAAAGAAGGAACUCGGCAAACACUGGCCUCGCCUGUUUACCAAAAACAUCGCCUCUUGCAACAAACGUAUAAGAGGUCCCGCCUGCCCUGUGACUUACUAGUUUAACGGCCGCGGUAUUUUGACCGUGCGAAGGUAGCGUAAUCACUUGUCUUUUAAAUGGAGACCUGUAUGAAUGGCACAACGAGGGCUAAGCUGUCUCCUUUUUCCAGUCAAUGAAAUUGAUUUUCCCGUGCAGAAGCGGGAAUAUAACCAUAAGACGAGAAGACCCUAUGGAGCUUAAGACACAAGGCAGCCCAUGUAAAACACCUGGCUCAACAGAAUUAACCAAGUGGCCCCUGCCCUUUUGUCUUUGGUUGGGGCGACCGCGGGGAAACAAAAAUCCCCCACGUGGAAUGGGGCCAACCCCCCCUAAAGCCAGAGCCACAGCUCUAGCUAGCAGAACAUCUGACCUACAAGAUCCGGCAAAGCCGAUCAACGGACCGAGUUACCCUAGGGAUAACAGCGCAAUCCCCUUUUAGAGCCCAUAUCGACAAGGGGGUUUACGACCUCGAUGUUGGAUCAGGACAUCCUAAUGGUGCAGCCGCUA
rnacentral:rRNA from 1 species